rnacentral:rRNA from 1 species
AGAGUUGAUCAUGGCUCAGGACGAACGCUGGCGGCGUGCUUAACACAUGCAAGUCGAACGGGGACUUCGGUCCUAGUGGCGAACGGGUGAGUAAAGUGCAAAUAACCUGCCUCAAAGAUGGGGACAACAGCUCGAAAGGGUUGCUAAUACCGAAUGUUGUAUAGAGAGGGCAUCCUGAUUAUACUAAAGAUUUAUCGCUUUGAGAGGGGUUUGCAUCCGAUUAGGCAGUUGGCGGGUAAAAGCCCACCAAACCGACGAUCGGUAACCGGUCUGAGAGGAUGAACGGUCACAUUGGAACUGAGACACGGUCCAGACUCCUACAGGAGGCAGCAGUGGGGAAUAUUCCACAAUGGAGGGAACUCUGAUGGAGCGACGCCGCGUGAAGUGAAGAAGGGUUUAGGCUCGUAAAGCUCUUUUCUUGCAGAUGAAUGACUUAUUAGAUAAGUAGGGACAGUAUGUAAGGAAUAAGCCACGGCUAACUACGUGCCAGCAGCCGC